rnacentral:tRNA from 1 species
GGGCCCAUAGCUCAGUGGUUAGAGCAAUCGGCUCAUAACCGAUUGGUCCUAGGUUCGAGUCCUAGUGGGCCCA